rnacentral:lncRNA from 1 species
CUGACUCACAAGAGGAGCUGCAGGACUGGGUGAAGAAAAUCCGAGAAGUGGCCCAGACGGCAGACGCCAGGGUAAGGGGCAUCUGUGGGGUGCAGGUGGGCAGCAUGUGAACCUGUUGGGGGUGAGGCCUGCAGCACCAGGCCUGCCUCUAGGCUGGGACCUGGAGGAAACCACACACACACACACACACACACACACACACAGACACACACACAGCAGGCCGUGUGGCUCGUUCAGGACAGAGAUGGAUAGCGGCCGUGGGCCGCCCUGUGGAUCUGCAUGGUCGGCAGUUGGACACACAGGGGCCGAGCAAGAGCAGUCUUGUGCUGGAAGCAGGAGCGGGUGCCCAGAGGCUUGGGAGGAAUGGGUGGUGUGGAGUGGGGAGAGGGUUUAACUUUGGAGGGUGUUGGUGGCAGGGGGAGCCUGGAAGGGCAGGGCCAAGAGGUGGAUGGUAUCUGAUGUGUGAGGGCUGCAGAGGUACCAACGGGCACGAUAACCUGAAAGUGCCCGGGGUUUUGGCAGCAGCAAAUGGCCCUAGUGUCACUACUAGGAACCAUGGUGGUGGGUCUCUAUGGGGCUAGAGCUGGGGCCAGCUUUCACGCUUGGCUGUAGGAGGAGCCAGCAGAGAGGAGGGAGGCCACUUCCGCUGAGCCUGGGGGAGCGGAGGGAAGGAUGUAUUCACAGGGGUUAAGGGAAUUCUGUGUGAUGGCCAUUCCCCGGGUGGUUGGUGUGGGUGGAGGGCGACAAGGCAGGUCUGUGGCUGCUUUGGAGGAUGGGUACCUGUGAGCCGCAAAGAGAACAGAAGGUGCUGAGGAUUUUAUUGGCAGACUGGCUGGUGGAGGGGAUGGAUUCUGGGGUCUGGGCUGGAAGAGGAAGUAAGAAUGUGAGUGUAGGAGCCCUUGAUGGAAGAAAGUGGGCCUCCGGAGCUAUGAGGACAGGACGGGAUGCGCUUGUGAGUGGCCACGGUGGGUAGGUGGCUGUGUCGGGCAGGGGGGCAUCUGAGGGUGUGAAGCCAUUAGGCCCGCAAGGUGGGAGGAGUCUCCUCAGCACCGAGACCUGAGUCCCCACUGGAGUCACAGGAGGCUGCCUUGCUUAAGGGAGGCUGGGUACCCGAUGGUCACAAAGCAUCACCAAAGAGUGCAGCCAACCCCAGGACCCUGAGCUGUCACUGGGGUGUGGGUGAUGAGGACAUCAGCCUCUAAGAGUCCUAGGAGGGCAAGUGUGGCCUUGGGGGCAGAGAAAAGGAAGGAGGAUUCUGGGGUGUACUGUCCAGUGGGGUGUGGGAGAUUCGGGGGACAGGGCAGGGCCUAGAGAGUACCUGCACUGUGGGUAUGCCUAAGCUGGCAGGGGCAUCCUUCCGGGUGGGGCAUCAGGCCAUGUGUGUGUGUCACCAGCUCACGGAGGGCAAGAUGAUGGAGCGGAGGAAGAAGAUCGCCCUGGAGCUCUCCGAGCUGGUUGUCUACUGUCGGCCUGUUCCCUUUGAUGAAGAGAGUAAGGGCCGAGGGCUGGUGGGGGUGUGUUUGGGCGCCCUCCCUGGCAGGUGGAAGACGUACAUUUUGUCCCUUUGUAUGGGGGGUGGGGGAGCUGCCCGGGUGGGUGGGCUCUGUAAGCAUUCUCCCUGUUUGGCCCAGAGAUUGGCACAGAACGUGCCUGCUACCGGGACAUGUCGUCCUUCCCGGAAACCAAGGCUGAGAAAUACGUGAACAAGGCCAAAG